CCUGCAGAAACCCAGUUCUGGUUGCAAGAAUCAUGGCAAAUGCACAUGAUUUACUGCUGAUGCACCUAAAGAGCUGUGGUGUCUAGAUAAGGCAAGUCAAGGCAGUUCUAACUUACUAGCACAAUUUACUUAACAUAACAUAGCUGAUUUGAUUUUUUGUGAAUAAAGUAUAAGAAUUUUUUUUAUGAUCUUGGUUUUUUUUUGCUUCUUUCUCUUUCUGCAUAUUGUCUCUCUUCCUCUGUCUUUCCUUUUCCUUCUCAGAGAAGCUGUUUGGAAACUUGGGGCGGUUUUGCUGUCUGCAUUUGUUGUCUUUAGCCCCUGUGUUUUGGAGAAGUGCCUGCCCACAGCAGUCGAGCCAGACUUCCAGGGCUGGAAGCACAUCUUCUAAAUCAUGGAUGUUAAGGGGAUGGGUAACAACAGGCAGAUUCUUGCUAUCCUGGAUGAAAAUGCCACCUGCUGAUGGUAUCCAUUCCACCCUUUCCAUUCUAACUGAAGUCUGCCAUGGGCUCAAGGGGGCUACCACUGCCCAGUGCCCCCAGCAGCCCCUCUUUCAGUUCCUUGGUACCUGGGUUGGGAUGGGAGAUCUUCUUCCAAGGGACAUGUUAAACUCUUCUUUCUUAUGGGGUUAUGUGCAAUUUCCUUCUUGAAGUGAUGUUUCCCCUUAAACCCAUGAUUUUUUAGACUUCCUUCCCACCUUUUAUGCAUAUUGUGAGCUGGAAAAUAAACCUUUAAGUGCCUUGAAGCUGCUGCUGGCU
rnacentral:lncRNA from 1 species